rnacentral:sRNA from 1 species
AAAUAGAAGAGUAAAACGCUUUCAAUUGUUAGAUAAUUUGAAGGGAGACUGUAAAUAUGGGAACAAUCAUUUGCCAAACCUGCAACAAUACAAUUGAGCAUUAUGAAGAUGAAAAGGUCAGUGUUUUGUAUUCACAUUGCGGUACCUGCCAGUAUGAUAUAGAAAAAGAGAUGGAGUAAGCAAGCAAACCAAAGAAAGCCGCCCGGGUUGGGCGGCUUUCUUUGGU